rnacentral:misc_RNA from 1 species
CAACCCUUAAGCCUCUGUCGCUUAGCGUUGGGAGCCUACGUUUAUAACGUAGCUUCUGAAAGUUAGUGGCGGUGCUGGAGCACACUCUCAGCGUAGUAGUUUUCUUCUCGCUCCUGUAGUGGCCUCAGCAGCCUGCCGUAAAACCUUUAACUCUUAGU